GGAAAGCUUAUAAACCAUUCUUAAAUCAAUGCCUAAAUAAGAUAUUUUCACACACUUGUUCAGAAAAAUAUAAUAAAACUCCAUUAACUAAUAUGAAGUAGACAAAAUGUCACUGGUUAAAUUAACAUAAAUAUAGAUAACCCCCACCACCAAUGAUUAGAGUCAGUUCAGACAAAUGUCUGACAAAUGCAACAAUACAAAUAAAAAAGACUGAUGCUCAAAACAAGCAGCACUGGUUUUGAGCAAAGGUUCAACUUUACAUUCCAUAUUUCAAAUUCAUUUUGGUAAGUUUUAUUCUAUUAAUAAAUUUUCUAACAUAUAAAUUAUUGCUUAAAUAGCACAUUUUUGUUCAUUUACUUAAUCUAACCAUAUUUGAUUAAGGAAGACAUGGAAUGUCAUUUAUAACAAAUAG